GACGAACGCUGGCGGCGUGCUUAACACAUGCAAGUCGAACGGAAAGGCCCUGCUUUUGUGGGGUGCUCGAGUGGCGAACGGGUGAGUAACACGUGAGUAACCUGCCCUUGACUUUGGGAUAACUUCAGGAAACUGGGGCUAAUACCGGAUAGGAGCUCCUGUUGCAUGGUGGGGGUUGGAAAGUUUCGGCGGUCGGGGAUGGACUCGCGGCUUAUCAGCUUGUUGGUGGGGUAGUGGCUUACCAAGGCUUUGACGGGUAGCCGGCCUGAGAGGGUGACCGGCCACAUUGGGACUGAGAUACGGCCCAGACUCCUACGGGAGGCAGCAGUGGGGAAUAUUGCACAAUGGGCGGAAGCCUGAUGCAGCAACGCCGCGUGCGGGAUGACGGCCUUCGGGUUGUAAACCGCUUCCGCCUGUGACGAAGCGUGAGUGACGGUAAUGGGUAAAGAAGCACCGGCUAACUACGUG
rnacentral:rRNA from 1 species